rfam:Schistosoma margrebowiei strain Zambia genome assembly, scaffold: SMRZ_scaffold0000774
AUCCAGAUGACGAGUUCCAGAUAAGACGAAAUACAUGUCCUGGAU